rnacentral:rRNA from 1 species
GAUUAACGCUGGCGGCGUGCCUAACACAUGCAAGUCGAGCGGCAGCGCGUUUUACACUGAAUUCUGGAAGCUUCUAGUUGAAAGAGAAGAUUUAUUCAAGAAUUUUGUGUAAAAUGUCGGCGAGCGGCGGACGGCUGAGUAACGCGUGGGAACGUACCCCAAAGUGAGGGAUAACGCAUCGAAAGGUGUGCUAAUACCGCAUAUGGUCUUCGGAUUAAAGCCUUCGGGCGCUUUGGGAACGGCCUGCGUAAGAUUAGAUAGUUGGUGGGGUAAUGGCCUACCAAGUCGACGAUCUUUAACUGGUUUGAGAGGAUGAUCAGUCAGACUGGAACUGAGACACGGUCCAGACUCCUACGGGAGGCAGCAGUGAGGAAUCUUCCACAGUGGGCGAAAGCCUGAUGGAGCAACGCCGCGUGCAGGAUGAAGGCCUUCGGGUUGUAAACUGCUUUUAUAAGUGAGGAUUAUGACAGUAACUUAUGAAUAAGGAUCGGCUAACUACGUG